AUGGCUCAGGAUGAACGCUGGCGGCGUGCCUAAUACAUGCAAGUCGAACGAGGUAGCAAUACCGAGUGGCGAACGGGUGAGUAACACGUAGGUAACCUGCCCUUAAGCUUGGGAUACCCAGAGGAAACUUUGGCUAAUACCGGAUAACAACAGAGAAGGCAUCUUCUUUGCUUGAAAGGCCCCUUCAAGGGUCACUUAAGGAUGGACCUGCGGCGCAUUAGCUAGUUGGUGAGAUAACAGCCCACCAAGGCGAGGAUGCGUAGCCGAACUGAGAGGUUGAUCGGCCACAUUGGAACUGAGACACGGUCCAAACUCCUACGGGAGGCAGCAGUAAGGAGUUUUCGGCAAUGGGGGAAACCCUGACCGAGCAACGCCGCGUGAGCGAUGACGGUCCUUUGGAUUUGUAAAGCUCUGUUGUAAGCCAUGAAUGACAGCCUGAGGAAAUGCAAGUUGUUUGACGACAGCUUACCAGAAAGCCACGGCUAACUACGUGCCAGCAGCGGC
rnacentral:rRNA from 1 species